GCCGGGCAUGGUGGCGCAUGCCUGUAGUCCCAGCUACUCGGGAGGCUGAGAUGGGAGAAUAGCUUGAACCUGGGAGGCAGAAGUUGCAGUGAGCCGAGAUCAUGCCACUGCACUGCAGCCUGGGUGACAGAACAAGACUCCAUCUCAA
ensembl:misc_RNA Metazoa_SRP Metazoan signal recognition particle RNA